rnacentral:rRNA from 8 species
GUGGGCCUCAGGUCAGAUGAGGCGACCCGCUGAAUUUAAGCAUAUUAAUAAGCGGAGGAAAAGAAACUAACCAGG